AAAGGGCACAACCUGACCACAGCCACCUACUAUCACCUACUAUUUUCUUCAUGGCUCGUUCCACUGCCUUUCUCUUGCUGGCGGUCCUUCUGACUGCCAUGGCGCCCCGGAUUGACUCCGCCCUGGGUUGUGGCCAGGUUGUGCCCUUUUUAUCCACCUGCGUCAACUAUGUUAGAGGCCGCGGGCCGCUUCCCGGUAGUUGCUGCGUUGGGGUUAGUCGGCUCAAAUUCAUAGCAGUCACGACCCCUGACCGCCAGACUGCUUGUGGCUGCAUCAAGAGCUCCCUUAGCUCUAUCUCCGGCAUCAACCUCAACCUUCUCGCGGGGCUCCCACAGAAAUGUGGUGUUAGCAUCCCCUAUGCUGUCAGCCCAUCCACUGAUUGCUCUAAAGUGCAUUGAGCCAAUCUGCUACUUAUGCUGCUUAAAAAUAUUGUUCAGAAUAAUGCAGACUUUGUUUCUGUACAAGGUCGUACCAGUGUUCUUUGAGGGUGUCAUGUCGUUGCUGUUUAUCUUUUUUUGAUGUUGCUUUUUCAGUCCAUAUUUUACUGCUAUGUAACAUGGUAAUAUCGUACCAUUGCCUAUGUAGUAUGAGUUGCUGGUUACUAUAAGUCAAAGCACUCUUU
rnacentral:misc_RNA from 1 species